UUAUGUUUGGGCUUUAUUUAAGAGGGAAAGCACAAUCGUUUCUCACCUAGGCACAUAGGAAGAACCUGGAGAGAAGUGUGAUCAGGCCUCUGUUACCUCAUCUAAUAGCCCAUUGCCAUGGUAAAGGCAUAAUCAUAUUUAAAUUGUAUGCUAGUAUGCAUGCUCUGGGAGUGUAUAUAUGGGAAUGCAUGUUCCUUCAGGUUUAUAGGCAUGCAGGAAAGAUCAGGAACAAGGACCUGAAUCCCAGUUAUAAGGGCUCAGUGUAUUUCCUGAGGUGUUUCUUAUCUAACAUGACAGGAGUUUUGUUAAGUAGCCAAAACAGCAGUGAAACAAGGGUACCUGCCGACUGGUAUGCUAUAUAUAGACUCAGAGAGAAGACACUAUACCCACGCCAGGAAGAGAGGCCUCUGGAGAAACUGUCAAGUUAGCACCCGUUCUUAAGACACAAAACUCAAGCCUAUAAAUGAUCAAUAACUUAUAUCAUCCUCCACCCAUGUCAUCCUUUCAGGGAGCAUAUGCUACACAGGUACAUAGGAAGAGCUUUACCAGGACCUUCUCAGUGGCUUCUCUAGACAUGACUCUUCCUGGAAAUAAUCUUGAUAUUCAGAUAUUCAGCUGAUAGACCCUUCCUUUAUUCUUUUUUUUUUUUUUGGAGCUGGGGACCAAACCCAGGGCCUUGGGCUUCCUAGGCAAGCGCUCUACCACUGAGCUAAAUCCUGAACCCCUAGACCCUUCCUUUAAUGACUAUAGACCUUGAUAUGCCAUUCUCUCUUCAUCUAAUUUUCAUAUUUAUAUUUAUAAGAUGGGUGUUAAUGUAUUUGGGAAUGAAUCUGUAUGUGUGUGUGUGUGUGUGUGUGUGUGUGUGUGUGUGUGUGUGUGUGUAGAGACUCAAUCAUGUCAGCUGUUUCUUUCAUGACAUUCUCAAAAGUCAUUGACUACCAUGAGGUCAGGGAGUGAAACUUCAUGAAAUGCUUCAUGGGAGAUCCUAUUACAGCCUGGACAGCCUUUGAGCUUUUCUAAACUGAGUGAGGCUUGGCCUUUGUGACCUCACAUAGUGGGUCACUGUCCUGGCUAUGGGUGUGUCCUAGUUCUGAGGGCUGCAGAGUCUAUUAUAGGAGAAGGUGCCAGGGGUCCCUUUCAGGAAUAUUGGCAAUAGAUCAUGGCUAACAACAUAGUGGUUUUGGACAAAUAUGGACUCAAAAGUAUGUUGUACUUCAAUCCCCCAAAAAAUUAGAUAACUUGAACCUGAAAAUUUCUGGACCUAGAUAGGUGGCCCUGAAAUAUAAGAGGCCCAGAAAACAAACCGAAAAUAGUAUGUAUCCUUGACAAACCAUGAUCUUGAAGGAGUCCAGGUCCAAAACAAGUAGAGAUGUAGGCUUGGGUCAGUACCUGACCAUGAAGAGGCCCAGACCCAAAGGAAGAACUGAUAUGGGCCUGGGCCUAUGCCUAACCAUUGAAGAGGCCUGGGCCCAAAGAAGAAGAAAUAUGGGCCUAGGCCAAUCCCUGUUGCUAACAGGCCUGGGCCAUAAAGAAUUGAUGGGGGCCUGGGCCUCCCUAACCCUUGAAGAGGCCUGGACCCAAAGAAGAAGAAAUAUGGGCCUGGGCCAAUCCCUGACUGUGAAUAGGCCUGGGCCCAAAAGAAGUGAUGUGGGCCUGGGCCUAUCCCUAACCCUUGAAGAGGCCUGGGCCCAAAGAAGAAGAAAUAUGGACCUGGGCCAAUCCCUGACCCUGAAGACGCCUGGGGCCAAAAGAAGUGAUAUGGGCCUGGGCCUAACCUAACCUGUGAAGAGGCCUGGGCCCAAAGAAGAAGAAAUAUGGGCCUGGGCCAAUCCCUGACCCUGAAGAGGCCUGGGCCCAAAAGAAGUGAUGUGGGCCUGGGCCAAUCCCUGACCCUGAAGAGGCCUGGGCCCAAAAGAAGUGAUGUGGGCCUGGGUCUGUCCCUAACCCUUGAAGAGGCCUGGGCCCAAAGAAGAGGAAAUAUGGGCCUCGGCCAAUCCCUGACUGUGAAUAGGCCUGGGCCCAAAAGAAGUGAUGUGGGCCUGGGCCUAUCCCUUACCCUUGAAAAGGCCUGGGCCCAAAGAAGAAGAAAUAUGGGCCUGGGCCAAUCCCUGACCCUGAAGAGGCCUGGGCCCAAAAAAAGUGAUGUGGGCCUGGGCCAAUCCCUGACCCUGAAGAGGCCUGGGCCCAAAAAAGUGAUGUGGGCCUGGGCCUAUCCUUGACCCUGAAGAGGCCUGGGCCCCAAAGAAGUGAUGUGGGCCUGGGUCUGUCCCUAACCCUUGAAGAGGCCUGGGCCCAAAGAAGAGGAAAUAUGGGCCUAGGCCAAUCCCUGUUGCUAACAGGCCUGGGCCAUAAAGAAUUGAUGGGGGCCUGGGCCUCCCUAACCCUUGAAGAGGCCUGGACCCAAAGAAGAAGAAAUAUGGGCCUGGGCCAAUCCCUGACUGUGAAUAGGCCUGGGCCCAAAAGAAGUGAUGUGGGCCUGGGCCUAUCCUUAACCCUUGAAGAGGUCUGGGCCCAAAGAAGAAGAAAUAUGGGCCUGGGUCAAUCCCUGACCCUGAAGAGGCCUGGGCCCAAAAGAAGUGAUGUGGGCCUGGGCCUAUCCCUAACCCUUGAAGAGGCCUGGGCCCAAAGAAGAAGAAAUAUGGGCCUGGGCCAAUCCCUGACCCUGAAGACGCCUGGGGCCAAAAGAAGUGAUAUGGGCCUGGGCCUAACCUAACCUGUGAAGAGGCCUGGGCCCAAAGAAGAAGAAAUAUGGGCCUGGGCCAAUCCCUGACCCUGAAGAGGCCUGGGCCCAAAAGAAGUGAUGUGGGCCUGGGCCAAUCCCUGACCCUGAAGAGGCCUGGGCCCAAAAGAAGUGAUGUGGGCCUGGGUCUGUCCCUAACCCUUGAAGAGGCCUGGGCCCAAAGAAGAGGAAAUAUGGGCCUCGGCCAAUCCCUGACUGUGAAUAGGCCUGGGCCCAAAAGAAGUGAUGUGGGCCUGGGCCUAUCCCUUACCCUUGAAAAGGCCUGGGCCCAAAGAAGAAGAAAUAUGGGCCUGGGCCAAUCCCUGACCCUGAAGAGGCCUGGGCCCAAAAAAAGUGAUGUGGGCCUGGGCCAAUCCCUGACCCUGAAGAGGCCUGGGCCCAAAAAAGUGAUGUGGGCCUGGGCCUAUCCUUGACCCUGAAGAGGCCUGGGCCCCAAAGAAGUGAUGUGGGCCUGGGUCUGUCCCUAACCCUUGAAGAGGCCUGGGCCCAAAGAAGAGGAAAUAUGGGCCUAGGCCAAUCCCUGUUGCUAACAGGCCUGGGCCAUAAAGAAUUGAUGGGGGCCUGGGCCUCCCUAACCCUUGAAGAGGCCUGGACCCAAAGAAGAAGAAAUAUGGGCCUGGGCCAAUCCCUGACUGUGAAUAGGCCUGGGCCCAAAAGAAGUGAUGUGGGCCUGGGCCUAUCCUUAACCCUUGAAGAGGUCUGGGCCCAAAGAAGAAGAAAUAUGGGCCUGGGCCAAUCCCUGACCCUGAAGAGGCCUGGGCCCAAAAGAAGUGAUGUGGGCCUGGGCCUAUCCCUAACCCUUGAAGAGGCCUGGGCCCAAAGAAGAAGAAAUAUGGACCUGGGCCAAUCCCUGACCCUGAAGACGCCUGGGGCCAAAAGAAGUGAUAUGGACCUGGGCCUAACCUAACCUGUGAAGAGGCCUGGGCCCAAAGAAGAAGAAAUAUGGGCCUGGGCCACUCCCUGACCCUGAAGAGGCCUGGGCCCAAAAGAAGUGAUGUGGGCCUGGGCCAAUCCCUGACCCUGAAGAGGCCUGGGCCCAAAAGAAGUGAUGUGGGCCUGGGUCUGUCCCUAACCCUUGAAGAGGCCUGGGCCCAAAGAAGAAGAAAUAUGGGCCUGGGCCAAUCCCUGACCCUGAAGAGGCCUGGGCCCAAAAAAAGUGAUGUGGGCCUGGGCCAAUCCCUGACCCUGAAGAGGCCUGGGCCCAAAAAAGUGAUGUGUGCCUGGGCCCAAAAAAGUGAUGUGGGCCUGGGCCUAAAAAAGUGAUGUGGGCCUGGGCCUAUCCUUGACCCUGAAGAGGCCUGGGCCCCAAAGAAGUGAUGUGGGCCUGGGCCUAUCCCUAACCUUUGAUGAGGCCUGGGCCCAAAGAAGGAGAAAUAUGGACCUGGGCCAAUUCCUGGCACUUAAAUGGCCUGGGCCCAAAAGUAAUGAUGUGGGCCUGGGCCUAUCUCUAACCCUUGAAGGGGCCCAGGCCCAAAGAAGAUGAAAUAUGGGCCUGGGCCUAUGCCUAAUCCCUGAAGAGUCCUGAGCACAAAGAAAAAGAAAUAUGGGUUUGGGUCAAUCCCUACCCUAAAGUGGCCUGGGACAGAAAAAAAUGGGCCUGGGUCUAUCCCUAAUCCUUGAAGAGGCCAAAACCAAAGCAGAAAUAUGAGCCUGGGAUAAUCUCUGAUCCUGAGGAUGCUUGGCCCCAAAACAAUUAGAUUUGUGUGCUUGGGCUAACCCCUAGCCCUGAAGAGGCCUGGGCCAAAAUUAGAAGAGAUAUAGCCUGGGCCUCUCCUUAAUCCACAAGAGGCUCAGGUCCAAUUUAUAAGAUGUGUGGACCUAGGCUUAUCUCUUACCUUCAAGAAGCCUGGGCCCUAAGCAAGAAGGGAAUAUUGAUGUAGGCUAGUUCUUCAAAGAACAGGGUCUGGGCCAAAAGAUUAUUUCCAAUCCAAACCCUGACCCUGAACACCAUCAGUCCAUAUAAAAAAAAAAUGUGUCAAGGCCAGACUUUGAACCUGAUGAAGUUUGGGCCCAAAUGUAAUAUUGAAAUUAUCUUGUAUUUACCCUCACUCAAAGACCAAACAAAUAAGUGUGGCCAGGUCAAGACUAAAAUGAAACAACACUGUGGUUAGUAUACCAUGAAGUAGUCUAAUUCAAGGUCUUAAUUUCAACUGAUACCAUGACUAUUUAUGCCUAGGCCAUACCCACUACUCUAGGAUGGUUGGGCAUAACCACAAGAGGUCCUGGUGCAAUAAUGGCAAAGACCAUAGAGUGACAUCAGAGGGAUCCUGGCAGCUUCCUGACCACAGAAUACCCAAUGUCCAGCUUAAAUUCAAGGGUGUGUGUUACUCCCACUCUCUUUAUAAUUGUUGACAACUUUCACUAUAAGGAAGCAAGGAAUACACCAAGACCUUGUAGUUUUACAUUAUUCUUUAGCAGGCAUUUCGUACUCCAGCAUUGUGUAUAUAGUUUUCAAUAAAUAUAAUGUUCAUCUGCUA